rnacentral:misc_RNA from 1 species
GAUGAAGAACGCAGCGAAAUGCGAUAAGUAAUGUGAAUUGCAGAAUUCAGUGAAUCAUCGAAUCUUUGAACGCACAUUGCGCCCGCCAGUAUUCUGGCGAGCAUGCCUGUUCGAGCGUCAUUUCAACCAUCAAGCCCCAGGCUUGUGUUGGAGCCCUGCGGCUGCCGCAGCCUCCCAAAACCAGUGGCGGGCUCGCUAUCACACCGAGUGCAGUAGUUUACUCUUCGCUCAGGGCGUGUGGCGGGUGCUAGCCGUGAAACCCCCAACUUCUCAAGGUUGACCUCGGAUCAGGUAGGAAUAUCCGCUGAACUUAAGCAUAUCAAUAAGCGGAGGA